CGUGGCCCCAACCCCGCCUCCCUCCCCACCCCGCAAUGGCAGAAGAAACUCAACAGAGCAAAUUGGCCGCAGCAAAGAAAAAGGCAAAGGAGGACAUCUGGACAGUGAGGAGGAGGCACCUCGGCCCAUGCCAAGCAACCCAGAGGACCUGGAGAGCUGGGAGGCCACGGUGAAGUGGCCUUAUGGACCUCCUGGAGGAGAAGGUGGACCUGAGGGAGCGAGCGGAGAAACUAGAACUUCGAUUCAUCCAGUACUGGAAAGACAGAAGUCAUCAGUUAGUGGGAGGCCAGGGCACGGCAGGGGGAGCUGCAGGGCCGUCGGAGGGACCUCAGCGUCUGAGCCCUGUCCUCCUGCAGGAAAGUUCAUCACCCUAGAACACAGCCAGGGGGCAGUGCCAAAGAUGCGGCAACUGGAGGAGGACAUCAUCAGGCUGGCCCAGGACAUGGAGGAGAUGAAGGUAGGGUGUGCAACAUCUCUGCAGGGGUGGGGGUGGGCGUGAGGGUGGGCGCCGGUAGAUGCAUAACAGCUGAGCACCCCUCCCUCCAGGUGAAGCUGCUGGAGCUGCUGGAGAAGAUGUUGCGGCUUGUGGUGACUACAACGAGGGACACAGCAAAUUCCCGGCCACUGCCCUGAAGCUUGCUGAUGAGCCUGGUCCAGGAGCCCCAGCCCCCCAGGAGCUUGUGGGUGCUGAUAAGCAUGGUGAUCUUUGUGAGGUGAGCCUCACUGACAGCGUGGAGCA
rnacentral:lncRNA from 1 species